rfam:Triticum aestivum genome assembly, contig: Triticum_aestivum_CS42_TGACv1_scaffold_148210_2BS
GAUGUACUCCCUCCGUCCGGAAAUACUUGUCAUCAAGAUGGAUAAAAGGGGAUGCAUCUAGACAUAUUUUAGUUCUAGAUACAUCUUUUUUUAUCUGUUUUGAUGACAAGUAUUUUCGGACGGAGGGAGUAUGAA